rnacentral:pre_miRNA from 1 species
AGGGGAACGUCGGAUCCCGGGCUGUGUCCCCGGCGCCCUGGGAUCCGGGGCCUGCGCUGCUGGAAUCACGCUCCCGGGGCCGCACAGCCCCCU